rnacentral:tRNA from 1 species
GGGGGUAUAGCUCAGUGGUAGUGCGUGUGCUUAGCAUGUACAAGGUUCUGGGUUCAGUCCCCAGUACCUCCA